GAUGAAGAACGUAGCGAAAUGCGAUAAGUAAUGUGAAUUGCAGAAUUCAGUGAAUCAUCGAAUCUUUGAACGCACAUUGCGCCCGCCAGUAUUCUGGCGGGCAUGCCUGUUCGAGCGUCAUUUCAACCAUCAAGCCCCCGGGCUUGUGUUGGGGACCUGCGGCUGCCGCAGGCCCUGAAAAGCAGUGGCGGGCUCGCUGUCACACCGAGCGUAGUAGCAUACAUCUCGCUCUGGGCGUGCUGCGGGUUCCGGCCGUUAAACCACCUUUUAACCCAAGGUUGACCUCGGAUCAGGUAGGAAGACCCGCUGAACUUAAGCAUAUCAUAAGCGGAGGA
rnacentral:misc_RNA from 1 species